CCUGAGGAGGAGGAGUAAAGUUAGUGCCUUCACGGAGCUUUGCUUCCCAACACCCGGAAGUCUUUCCCUGGAUCUGAGCGGGCUUCCUCUAAAAGGUUUAGAAGCACGCUAACGCGCCAUCGCUUACUCCACAAAUCCAAACUUGAAGACGUGGGGAGGACACUAACCCAGGGGGCGGAGCCUGUUCACACAGAACCCGACCCGUGUCCAUGUCAGGACCGGUCCUCACCUGGUCGUCCUGCAGCGUCUCCUCGCAGCCCUCCAGAGCCGAACACAUGGUGUCGCUGCACUGAGGACACACCCAGACCAGGUCUCGCAUCGUCUGGACCACCGCUGAGGACGGAUGGGGCGCUGGUCAGACAUGUUGCUUCAGGGGGACAGGUGUGUGUCCCCGUGCUCUGAUGGAGCCUUACCUGAGGUUAUGUGCUCCUGUUUGAGUGUGAGAAGGCCCGUCAGGAUCUCCAGACUCCGGUCGCUGUAGCUGCGCCCGAUGUGCCCUUAACAGGAAGCAGAGAGACGUUUAAACUUCUACGAUCAGGCGUUACUCUGGGUGAGUCUCCAGAAGCAGGUCUGGUUCUGUCAGCAGAAGCUAACCCUAACCGAUGGCUGCGAUGGCGGUCUGAGCGGUGUCCAUGCUGACAUCAGUGCAGUAUCCCUUCAGCUCGUCCAGUAACAUCCCAACAUUGUCAUCGUUCACCAGCUCCACCAGCACCUGCAGAGCACCGUCCAGACUUCAGCCGUGUCAGCUCAUUUGGAAGUGAAUCCAUUCAUUAGAGCAACAUGAUCCUUCAGAGCACACACCUGCAUCUUCCUCUGCUUGAUGAAGGCCGGCUCGGCGUAGCCACAGAAGAAGCGCUUGUAGUGCUCCCCCAGCAGGCCGGGGACAGAGCGCAGCAGCAGCUGCAGCAAACAGGUUUAUUAUUAAUGGAAACCUUUAAGCCCUUAUGGAUUCACCCAACCAAUCAUCACAGAUCAAGCCAAUCACACACCGUGCCAUGGCACUGUUCCACCAACCAGCACGGGGCCAGAUCUUGGUGAGGAGUGCCUUCCUGCAGCUUGGCGUCCUCUCCUGUUUACGGUUGGAUCUGUAGAACUAACAGCGCCCGGUCCACAAGGUGGUCCGGUUGUAGGGAUGCACCGAUACGAUACUGGUAUCGGUAAAAGUUAACCGAUACCAAUGCAGUUGCUUGUCACUGUCACUGUCAUUUCUGUUCACCUAAUAUUUUAGUUUUGUGAUGUUUUACGUUUUAUCGACCUCACGGUCUUUUCCUGUUAGAAGAAAAUAAAACCUGUGUUCCAAAUCA